GACGAACCGUGCAAACGUUGUUCGGAAUCACUGGGCUUAAAGGGCGCGUAGGCGGGCCAGCCAGUCUGUGGUGAAAGCCCCCGGCUUAACCGGGGAAGUGCCGUGGAUACUGCUGGCCUCGAGGAGGAUAGGGGCAUCUGGAACGGUCGGUGGAGCGGUGAAAUGCGUUGAUAUCGACCGGAACUCCGGUGGCGAAGGCGGGUUGCUGGGCUGAUACUGACGCUGAGGCGCGAAAGCCAGGGGAGCGAACGGG
rnacentral:rRNA from 1 species